GUGAGGAAUUUUCCGCAAUGGGCGAAAGCCUGACGGAGCAAUGCCGCGUGAAGGAUGAAGGCCUAUGGGUUGUAAACUUCUUUUCUCAGAAAAGAAUUAUGACGGUAUCUGAGGAAUAAGCAUCGGCUAACUCUGUGCCAGCAGCCGCGGUAAGACAGAGGAUGCAAGCGUUAUCCGGAAUGAUUGGGCGGAAAGCGUCUGUAGGUUGUUUAAAAAGUAUUCUGUCAAAGAUUAGGGCUUAACCCUAGAUAGGCAGAAUAAACUUUUAAGCUAGAGUUUGGUAGAGGCAGAGGGAAUUCCCGGUGGAGCGGUGAAAUGCGUAGAUAUCAGGAGGAACACCAAAGGCGAAGGCACUCUGCUGGGCCAAUACUAACACUGAGAGACGAAAGCGAGGGGAGCAAAUGGGAUUAGAUACCCGAGUAGUCC
rnacentral:rRNA from 1 species